GGGCGCAUAGCUCAAUGGUAGAGCAGUUGCCUCUUAAGCAACGGGUUGGGGGUUCGAGUCCCUCUGCGCUCACCA
rnacentral:tRNA from 1 species